rnacentral:lncRNA from 1 species
CUGGGCAGCCAGGUUUGUCUGUGACGACCGGUCUCUAUAGCCAGCCUGUCCUCUCUGGGCAGCCAGACUGUCCUCUCUGGGCAGCCAGACUGUCCUCUCUGGGCAGCCAGACUGUCCUCUCUGGGCAGCCAGGUUUGUCUGUGACGACCGGUCUCUAUAGCCAGACUGUCCUCUCUGAGUCUGUACCUAGUCAGUGUUUUCCUCAGUUUUCUAUCAGUCACAGUGGUCAGAUAAUCUGCCACCAUGUACUGUCUGUUUAGAGACAAAUAGCA